CGGUGGAGCAUGUGGUUUAAUUCGAUGCAACGCGAAGAACCUUACCUGGUCUUGACAUCCCGGAGACCCUUAGGAAACUAGGGGUGCUUCCAUCUGGAAGAAUCUGGAGACAGGUGCUGCAUGGCUGUCGUCAGCUCGUGUCGUGAGAUGUUGGGUUAAGUCCCGCAACGAGCGCAACCCUUGCCUUUAGUUGCCAGCAGUUCGGCUGGGCACUCUAAAGGGACUGCCGGUGUUAAACCGGAGGAAGGUGGGGAUGACGUCAAGUCCUCAUGGCCUUUAUGACCAGGGCUACACACGUACUACAAUGGCCGAUACAAAGGGCAGCGACACUGCGAGGUGAAGCCAAUCCCGUAAAAUCGGUCUCAGUCCGGAUUGGAGUCUGCAACUCGACUCCAUGAAGUUGGAAUCGCUAGUAAUCGUGGAUCAGCAUGCCACGGUGAAUACGUUCCCGGGCCUU
rnacentral:rRNA from 1 species